rnacentral:rRNA from 1 species
UACGUAGGGUGCAAGCGUUAUCCGGAAUUAUUGGGCGUAAAGAGCUCGUAGGCGGUCUGUCGCGUCUGCUGUGAAAACUGGGGGCUCAACCCCCAGCCUGCAGUGGGUACGGGCAGACUAGAGUGCGGUAGGGGAGAUUGGAACUCCUGGUGUAGCGGUGGAAUGCGCAGAUAUCAGGAAGAACACCGAUGGCGAAGGCAGAUCUCUGGGCCGCAACUGACGCUGAGGAGCGAAAGCAUGGGGAGCGAACAGG